CUAGAUUUAGUUGGUUCUUCAGUUUCCUUUGACUGCGAAGAAAAGUCAGUAAUCUCUGAUUUUCAUUUUUAUUAUUAAAAAAAAAAUGUAUAGAUUUUGAGAUUUAGGGUUCUUGUACUCUUCAAAUCUAUUCCACUUCAAUGCUCUCUCAAUCUUUUUACUGGCAAUUGAAAGAUUUGAGCUUGUAAUUGCUGUUCAGCUUUGUGGGUUUUGAGCAUGGAUGAUGAGAAAGUACAAAGUGGUGGUUCAGAGAAAACAAUUUCUCAGAAUGAUGCUGAUGCUCUGAAGAGAUGUUUGGAAGAAAACAAAGACGAUAGUUCAAAAUGCAAGGCUCUGGUUGAAGCAUUCAAGGAUUCAGCUUAUUCCUCUUCUUCUACUAAGAAGCCAUGCACACCAAUUAGCCUCGGUCGUGGUUAUUUGACUGAUGUAUGACGAUUUGGAUGAUUUGGGGUAGCCCAUCUUGUUCAUACAAUAGUGAUGUUGAAUUGAAGAGGAAUUUUUUCCUUUUAUCUGUUUGGCUCCAAAGAAAAUGAUUCUUUGAGAAAUUUGUCCUUGGGAAAGAUGAAUUUGGUUAUCAGAAGAUUGUUUCUUA